GAACCCGCGGAAGGAUCAUUAUUGAAAACUUUGGGGAUAUUGUUGCUGGCCUCUUAACGAGGUAUGUGCACAUAUUUCUAAUCUAUUCAUCCACCUGUGCACUUUUUGUAGAAGUUUCUUUUCGAGUUAGUACACAUGUGUCUCUAAAGGACCUUGUAAGAAAAUUCGAUAGAGCUUCUAUGUAACACAAACUCGUUAUGCAUGUUAUAGAAUGUUAUUUUACUGGGACUUGAUUGACCCUUUAAACUUAUACAACUUUCAGCAACGGAUCUCUUGGCUCUCCCAUCGAUGAAGAACGCAGCGAAAUGCGAUAAGUAAUGUGAAUUGCAGAAUUCAGUGAAUCAUCGAAUCUUUGAACGCACCUUGCGCCCUCUGGUAUUCCGGAGGGCAUGCCUGUUUGAGUGUCAUUAAAUUCUCAACUUCAUCAGUUUUUAUAAUUGAUUGAAGCUUGGAUGUGGGGGUUUGCUGGCAUCACCUAGAUGUUUUCCGGCUCUCCUUAAAUGCAUUAGUAGGAACCCGCUAGUUGGCAUCCAUUGGGGGAUAAUUAUCUACCCCUUUGGUUAGUUCAACAGCUCUAAUAAGCAUUAUACUUCAGGACCCUUUGG
rnacentral:rRNA from 1 species